rnacentral:rRNA from 2 species
UGAGACACGGCCCAGACUCCUACGGGAGGCAGCAGUGGGGAAUAUUGCACAAUGGGCGAAAGCCUGAUGCAGCGACGCCGCGUGAGGGAUGACGGCCUUCGGGUUGUAAACCUCUUUCGACAGGGACGAAGCGCAAGUGACGGUACCUGUAGAAGAAGCACCGGCCAACUACGUGCCAGCAGCCGCGGUAAUACGUAGGGUGCGAGCGUUGUCCGGAAUUACUGGGCGUAAAGAGCUUGUAGGCGGUUCGUCGCGUCGUUCGUGAAAACUUGGGGCUCAACCCCAAGCUUGCGGGCGAUACGGGCGGACUAGAGUACUUCAGGGGAGACUGGAAUUCCUGGUGUAGCGGUGAAAUGCGCAGAUAUCAGGAGGAACACCGGUGGCGAAGGCGGGUCUCUGGGAAGUAACUGACGCUGAGAAGCGAAAGCGUGGGUAGCGAACAGGAUUAGAUACCCUGGUAGUCCACGCCGUAAACGGUGGGUACUAGGUGUGGGUUUCCUUCCACGGGAUCCGUGCCGUAGCUAACGCAUUAAGUACCCCGCCUGGGGAGUACGGCCGCAAGGCUAAAACUCAAAGGAAUUGACGGGGGCCCGCACAAGCGGCGGAGCAUGUGGAUUAAUUCGAUGCAACGCGAAGAACCUUACCUGGGUUUGACAUACACCGGAAACCUGCAGAGAUGUAGGCCCCCUUGUGGUCGGUGUACAGGUGGUGCAUGGCUGUCGUCAGCUCGUGUCGUGAGAUGUUGGGUUAAGUCCCGCAACGAGCGCAACCCUUAUCUUAUGUUGCCAGCGCGUAAUGGCGGGGACUCGUGAGAGACUGCCGGGGUCAACUCGGAGGAAGGUGGGGACGACGUCAAGUCAUCAUGCCCCUUAUGUCCAGGGCUUCACACAUGCUACAAUGGCCGGUACAGAGGGCUGCGAUACCGUGAGGUGGAGCGAAUCCCUUAAAGCCGGUCUCAGUUCGGAUCGGGGUCUGCAACUCGACCCCGUGAAGUUGGAGUCGCUAGUAAUCGCAGAUCAGCAACGCUGCGGUGAAUACGUUCCCGGGCCUUGUACACACCGCCCGUCACGUCAUGAAAGU